CGUGUAGGCGGUCGGUCAAGUCUGAUGUGAAAGCCCGGGGCUCAGCUCCGGAAGUGCAUUGGAAACUAGCCGACUGGAGCGCGAUAGAGGAGGGUGGAAUUCCUGGUGUAGCGGUGAAAUGCGUAGAUAUCAGGAGGAACACCGGCGGCGAAGGCGGCCCUCUGGAUCGUUGCUGACGCUGAGACGCGACAGCGUGGGGAGCAAACAGGAUUAGAUACCCUGGUUGUCCACGCCGUAAACUAUGGGUACUAGGUGUUCGGGGUGUUGACCCCCUGAGUGCCGCAGCUAACGCAUUAAGUACCCCGCCUGGGGACUACGGCCGCAAGGUUAAA
rnacentral:rRNA from 1 species